UCUCCGUUGGUGAACCAGCGGAGGGAUCAUUACAGGACUCACAAGACUCCUACACCCCUGUGAACUUAACUAUAAGCACGUUGCUUCGGCGGGUGUCUCGGAGUUGGUUCUCCCUCCCCGCGACGCUCAACCCGCCGGCAGCCUACUAUACUCUGUCUCUUUGCGUUGGCAUCUCGAGUACAAUCAAACAAGUUAAAACUUUCAACAACGGAUCUCUUGGUUCUG
rnacentral:misc_RNA from 1 species